rnacentral:lncRNA from 1 species
CUGUCAGUGAGAUGACACCACCACUUCUAGACCAUAAGUGCAUUUCAGUACACUCUUGAGUGAGAUUAAAUAAUGAACAGCUUGCUCCUCUGCUUCUAGGUACCAUGGCAAACAGCAGCUGCGCUGGGGGCAGUGGGUAAGAAAAGGCUUCAUAGAGACUUGAGGGACCUGAUAAAGAUGGAGAAGUUAACUCCAUCAUCCAUAACAGGAAAGUAGAAAAGCUGCAGCUGUCAGUGCCAGGUGAGUCCCUAGAUACCAUGAAUGAGGUAAACUAUUUUCAAAAACAUCUUUACUCAUGGUUGAAACCAAAAAGGAGGACAUAUGACCACACACAGACUAUGUUGUAUUCAUUAAAAAAUACAGUAUUUAUUCAGAUAGAAAACAUAGAAAAUGCAACAGAAAUUUGAUGUGAAUAAAUAUACAAAAAAUGGAUGUAUGCUGUUUACUCUGUGCCCAGUGGUAAUAAUGAGCAGCAGGCAACACUGAAGGUAGCUCCGCUAUCUGCUCAGGACCUUUAUUUGGCUUGGGACACCGUUCCUCCUGAGCAGCAACCAAGGCAUUAAUGACCUCUUCAGGGAAGACUACAGAUACUUAUCCUCCCCAGUAAACCCUUGUUGUGUCAGAGGACUACCGAAAACUGUUGAGUGUCAUCCAUGCCUGCUUUUUCAGUCAAGAAAGCUGACCGCCUCACAGGCAGAAAACAGAAUUUCAGCCUUAUGGCCAGGCAUUGCAGCAGCUUCUCUCUCUUACUCGGAUGAGUACAAAUUUUCACAAGGCCUGUGGAGCACAGAGCUGUCCCACAUCACACCCACAACCUUGCCUGAGGCUGUUGAGUAGGUUGGACACACUGCUUACAGAGGAGUGGGACUGGUGAGAGGCCUCCCUCAUGUGAACAUGGCUGUCAGGAGCUGACACCACCAGGUGACACGAGGCCUAGAAGAGCCCAGGGACCUGCAUGCCCCACCAUGUCUGUUAGAUGUGCGUACAGCUUGCAAAAACAGAAAAAGGAGGUGGGAUAUCAAGCUUGCAAGGAAUAUCUCUCUUAUUUACCAAACUCAUCUUCAUCACAAAGGAAGGACAUUGCGUGACAAAGCAAGUACUGGAAUGGAGAAAAGAUUUUAAGAGAUUGGCAGGUGAAAGCAGAAUGCUGUUGGAAGUGACACAUAUGCACCUUUCCCCCAGUGCUUCUGAAAUAGAGGAGAUUUGCGGUGUAUAUUUUUGACAGGACAACAAAAAAUAAGGCCUGAUUAAAUGAAUCUGUGACUUGUUUCCACCUGCAAAGUGGGCCUCCCCAGACUGAGCAAACUGGAAGUGACUCAUAAUCACAAUCAAGGAAUAAUGAAGUUCUUAUAAGAAUUACCUAUCUAAUCAGCAGGGAUCUGGACUUGACAACCCAGGCCUGCCCGACUGAAAUAGACUUUAUCUGCCAAUGUGAGGAGCAUGAAAACAGGAAAAAGAGAACCGUCUGAUAGAUAUUUUAGCAUGUGCCUCCUCUUUGUACCCAUUAGCUUACAAUCUGAUGGCCGUAUUUGGUAGACCAGAAAAUUCUGAUGUAUGUCUCUCAAGGACAUGCCUAACAUCUUGUUCAUGUAAGUGACUUCUUGCUCGUGUAAGUGUCUUGACCCAACUGCACAAAAUAAAUAAAUAAAUAAAUAAAUAAAUAAAAGUUUA